AUUGAACGCUGGCGGCAGGCCUAACACAUGCAAGUCGAACGGUAACAGGAAGAAGCUUGCUUCUUUGCUGACGAGUGGCGGACGGGUGAGUAAUGUCUGGGAAACUGCCUGAUGGAGGGGGAUAACUACUGGAAACGGUAGCUAAUACCGCAUAACGUCGCAAGCCCAAAGAGGGGGACCUUCGGGCCUUUUGCCAUCGGAUGUGCCCAGAUGGGAUUAGCUAGUAGGUGGGGUAACGGCUCACCUAGGCGACGAUCCCUAGCUGGUCUGAGAGGAUGACCAGCCACACUGGAACUGAGACACGGUCCAGACUCCUACGGGAGGCAGCAGUGGGGAAUAUUGCACAAUGGGCGCAAGCCUGAUGCAGCCAUGCCGCGUGUAUGAAGAAGGCCUUCGGGUUGUAAAGUACUUUCAGCGGGGAGGAAGGGAGUAAAGUUAAUACCUUUGCUCAUUGACGUUACCCGCAGAAGAAGCACCGGCUAACUCCGUG
rnacentral:rRNA from 1 species